rnacentral:lncRNA from 1 species
GUAGAUAGUAAAAAUAUAGAAAAAUACCAGGUUAUUUUCAGUACAAAGAAAUCACUAUUUUCCUAGCAAAUAAAAUUAGAACGACACAUUUCAUUCCAUUUUGCAUGUCGGCCUAGCUAGUGUCCCUAGCUAGUCGGCACUCGACAGCACCAGCUUAAUGCAUAGAUUCUGAAGUGUGUUACACUUAAAACCUAUAGAUAACUCCCCCAUAGACCAUAGAAAAAUGGGAAACUCCUUAUUCGUGGCCCAUCGUUACGCCAUCAGUCGUUCCUUACAUGCCUUUAGGCCUGGUUGCAGUCACAGCAGGACCGACAUGUCACAGCAGCUGCACACAGGCGAGAUUAGCAAGGUGACGAACGGUAUGGAUGAAGCUGGGCGUGUGUGCGUGAUUACAUGGAAGGAUGUUUCCAUCUUCUGCUUGAGGACUCCGUGCUCCCUGUUCAAGUUCUUCAAGUUCUGGAAGGACCUCAUACAAUUACAGACACAAACGGCAGGUGUAUCAGUAAUGGAUGAUGAUUAACAGAUCUAGCUCAGAGAGAAGGUAAUAUAAGUUACUGUCCAUUAUAGACAAAAGGACAACCAGCCUGUGAAACUAUCAACAGCCAAGAAGGGGAUGGUCCUAAGUCCUAACUGUUAGAAGAAAGGGCAGCAAUAGAGCAUGUCUUUUUCAGUUCGCUUGUACCUACUGGACGUGGUGGUUUUAGGGUGUCGUUGAUGGUACGUAGAGAGAGAAACUGCACACGAUAGGGCCUGCCAUGGCGUAUGGCAACAGUAGCCAGCCAUGGACUUCCUCGCUUGCCUGCGGCUGCCCAUGUGUCUGUUCCACCUUCACAUGUUGUUGCGAUAGGUGAGCAGUGGCCAAACUGGUAUGGCAUGCACUGCGCUCAGCAAGUGUCACACGUCAAAAUGUCGUGAUUGGGGACCUGGGAGAGGAGGCACGGUGAGGGACGGAGGAGGCGGAGGAUGAUUGUGACCAACAACACUGACGAUACGCUACAACAUGUGGUGCAAUGACCAGCAGAUAC